GUGCCGAGGAGGCCCUCCGCUCCGUGGAGAGGAUCCAGAACUGUAGCAUGAAAGGGUGAAGAAAAUCCACUUUGGGUCUCAAUGCGACUGAUAAGGACCGUGAAAGAAUCUAUCGAAUUAUCUGAAGGGGAACUGGUUGCAGAAGCUAGGUUGCAGACGAAGCUGCAGAUACAGAUCCUGAACCAGAGUGGAACCAGUGACCCUUGGAGACUUCACCUCUUGGCUUACCUCUGCA
rnacentral:lncRNA from 1 species